GGAAACAUGACAUAGUGGUUUGAGUGUUGGACUAUGACUCUGGUGACCAGGGUUCGAUUCCCAGCUCAGCCA
rnacentral:tRNA from 1 species